rnacentral:rRNA from 1 species
CACGUAGUUAGCCGGUGCUUAUUCUUACGGUACCGUCAUGACCCCAGGGUAUUAACCCAGGGCUUUUCGUUCCGUACAAAAGCAGUUUACAACCCGAAGGCCUUCAUCCUGCACGCGGCAUUGCUGGAUCAGGCUUGCGCCCAUUGUCCAAAAUUCCCCACUGCUGCCUCCCGUAGGAGUCUGGGCCGUGUCUCAGUCCCAGUGUGGCUGAUCGUCCUCUCAGACCAGCUACAGAUCGUCGGCUUGGUAAGCUUUUAUCCCACCAACUACCUAAUCUGCCAUCGGCCGCUCUAGUAGCACAAGGUCUUGCGAUCCCCUGCUUUCAUCCGUAGAUCUCAUGCGGUAUUAGCCACUCUUUCGAGUAGUUAUCCCCCACUACUAGGCACGUUCCGAUGUAUUACUCACCCGUUCGCCACUCGUCAGCAUCCGAAGACCUGUUACCGUUCGACUUGCAUGUGUAAGGCAUGCCGCCAGCGUUCAAUCUGAGCCAGGAUA